CGCGGCCUAUCAGCUUGUUGGUGAGGUAACGGCUCACCAAGGCAACGACGGGUAGCUGGUCUGAGAGGACGAUCAGCCACACUGGGACUGAGACACGGCCCAGACUCCUACGGGAGGCAGCAGCAGGGAAUCUUGCGCAAUGGGCGAAAGCCUGACGCAGCCACGCCGCGUGAGGGAUGAAGGCUCUAGGGUCGUAAGCCUCUUUCAGCAGGGAAGAAAAUGACGGUACCUGCAGAAGAAGCUCCGGCCAACUACGUGCCAGCAGCCGCGGUAACACGUAGGGAGCGAGCGUUGUCCGGAUUUAUUGGGCGUAAAGAGCUCGUAGGCUGUUCAGUAAGUCAGGUGUGAAAACUCGAGGCUCAACCUCGAGACGCCACCUGAAACUGCUGUGACUAGAGUCCGGUAGGGGAGUGUGGAAUUCCUGGUGUAGCGGUGAAAUGCGCAGAUAUCAGGAGGAACACCAGCAGCGAAGGCGGCACUCUGGGCCGGUACUGACGCUCAGGAGCGAAAGCAUGGGGAGCGAACAGGAUUAGAUACCCUGGUAGUCCAUGCCGUAAACGUUGGGCACUAGGUGUGGGAUUUAACUAACAAAUUCCGGGCCGUAGCUAACGCAUUAAGUGCCCCGCCUGGGGAGUACGG
rnacentral:rRNA from 1 species